CCGUCUUUCUUAAAGUGGGAGCCAAUGAUCAUAGCACCUGCUGGAAGGAAGUGUUCCACAUUGCUGUGCGUUACUCCAGAACCAAUAAGGACCGGUAUCUGUACAGACUGCGUUACAUCUGGAGAAAGAAAAAUCAUUAUUUGUGAUCUCUAAAGCUUGAGCUCCAGUGGCUGUUCCUGUGACGAUGACUCCAUCAGAGAGGAAGAACUUAGCUGCUUGGGCUGUCUCAGCUAUACUAACAUCUGAAAUCUGAAUGUGCUCUGCUCCGAUGUGUCUACGGUAGCGCAGCAGCUCACCAGCACAAGCAUUUAACAGGCCUUCAUCAGCAACAUGUGAAAAAACAAAGCCUUCUGCACGGAUAAAAUCCAGCCCUUUGGAGGAGGUGUUUAAGGUUAACAUUUAUAAAGCAUCACGUUAUGUUAUGUUAAUUACAGGAAGCCUUUGACAAAAGUCAGGCAUUUGCGAUUGCGCAUUCAUUCAUGUGUGAACACCUGAGGCCAGGGCAACAGCCAGCGCUGACUGAUUUGCAGCCGAGAGAAUCUGCACACCAAGCGGCCAGGAUGGACAAAGUCUUCUAACUGCAGAACACACAGCGGUCAUAGAUGAACACACCUCGGGACCCACCUCAAAGGUGUAGGGAAUAUCAUGCAUGUUUUCAAUGAUCACUCCAUCCUGUCAGAGGGUAAUAUGAAAUUAUCAAUCACACACUGAACACAUUAAAAAGAAACACAAAUGAGGAUAAAUAAGUACCAUUUCAAUCAGAUUAUAUUAAAACAGGUUAUCAAAAAGUCUAAUUCAAUGAAUAUGGUGCCCGGAAAUGGCCCUUAUGGGUAUUCUGACACACUGAUGCAAUGAAC